AUUGAACGCUGGCGGCAGGCCUAACACAUGCCAGUCGAGCGAGCGGCGGACGGGUGAGGAAUGUCUGGGAAACUGCCUGACGGAGGGGGAUAACUACGGGAAACGGUAGCUAAUACCGCAUACCAUCAGAUGUGCCCAGAUGGGAUUAGCUAGUAGGUGGGGUAACGGCUCACCUAGGCGACGAUCCCUAGCUGGUCUGAGAGGAUGACCAGCCACACUGGAACUGAGAAACGGUCCAGACUCCUAGGGGAGGGAGCAGUGGGGAAUAUUGGACAAUGGGCGCAAGCCUGAGGCAGUCAUGCCGCGUGUGUGAAGAAGGCCUUCGGGUUGUAAAGCACUUUCAGCGGGGAGGCGUUACCCGCAGAAGAAGCACCGGCUAACUCCGUGCCAGCAGCCGCGGUAAUUC
rnacentral:rRNA from 1 species